rnacentral:tRNA from 1 species
GAGGCGUAGCUAAACACAAAGCACUCAGCUUACACCUGAGAGAUAUCUGCUCACUCCACAGGUCGCCUUGAA